AACGCACAUUGCGCCCGCCAGUAUUCUGGCGGGCAUGCCUGUCUGAGCGUCAUUUCAACCCUCACGCCCCUAGGGCGUGGUGUUGGGGAUCGGCCAGCGCCCGCGAGGGACGGCCGGCCCCUAAAUCUAGUGGCGGACCCGUCGUGGCCUCCCCUGCGAAGUAGUGAUAUUCCGCAUAGGAGAGCGACGAGCCCCUGCCGUUAAACCCCCAACUUUCUCAGGUUGACCUCAGAUCAGGUAGGAAUACCCGCUGAACUUAA
rnacentral:misc_RNA from 1 species